AUGAAGAUAUCACUGAUUCUACUGCUGCUCACCCUGGGGCUCCUUGUUCAGGGUUCAUCAGGAGACAUCAUCCUGACUCAGUCUCCUGGAUCUCAGUCUGUUGUUCCAGGACAGACUGUCUCUAUCACAUGUAAAGCCAGUUCAAGUACUGGUUACUGCUUCAACUGGUACCUUCAGAAAGCAGGAGAAGUUCCUAAACUCCUUAUUUACUGUACUUCAAACCGGCAGUCUGGGAUUUCAAAUCGUUUCAGUGGGACAGGCUCUGGAACUGACUACACUCUUACCAUCAGUGGAGUUCAGACUGAAGAUGCUGCAGUUUACUAUUGUCAGAGUAGAUAUGAUAUUAACAGUCAAGCUGUGUUCACACAGUGA